UACGGAGGGGGCUAGCGUUGUUCGGAAUUACUGGGCGUAAAGCGCACGUAGGCGGCUUUGUAAGUUAGAGGUGAAAGCCCGGGGCUCAACUCCGGAAUUGCCUUUAAGACUGCAUCGCUCGAAUUGUGGAGAGGUAAGUGGAAUUCCGGGUGUAGAGGUGAAAUUCGUAGAUAUUCGGAAGAACACCAGUGGCGAAGGCGACUUACUGGACACAUAUUGACGCUGAGGUGCGAAAGCGUGGGGAGCAAACAGG
rnacentral:rRNA from 1 species